rnacentral:other from 1 species
GAAUGCCUGGGGUGUACGAGAAUCCUGCUAUUUUGAACCUACAUUUACGUUUAUGGGAAUCUUAUAUCGCCGUAUUGGAUGUCAGGCCGUCGAUUUGCGCAGCGGAAGGCAGAAGAUACGGCUGCGGGCACCCACCUAGCUUGGGCUAGGCGUCAAAAUUGCAGGUUACGGCAUUUUGGGUAUACU